rnacentral:lncRNA from 1 species
ACUCAAGAACCCAGCCCCCAUAGUGUGAGGAGGCCUAGGACAGUUACAGAAGCCAUGUGUAGGUGUUCUGGCUCCAGCAAAAGUCUUAUCUGACAACAUCAACUACAUGUUAGUUGGGUUUGUCUUGGUCCAUUUUAUGCUGCUAUAACAGAACACCACAGACUGAGAAAUUUAUAAGGAAUAGAAGUUUAUUUGCCUCAUGUUUCUGGAGGCUGGGAAUUCCAAGAUCAAGGGGCUGCAUAGAUUGAGGUCCUUUUUGCUGAGUCAUAACGUGGAAAGAGAGUGCACUGCAUAGAAGAAAGGAGGCCAAACUCAUUCUUUUAUCAUGAGCCUACUCCUGAAAUAACUCACUCUCAAGAUAAUGGCAUUAAUCCAUUCAUGAAGGCAGAACACUCAUGAUGUAAUCACCUCUUAAAAG